GGACGAAAGUCUGAUGGAGCAACGCCGCGUGAGCGAAGAAGGCCUUCGGGUCGUAAAGCUCUGUUGUUAGGGAAGAACAAGUAUCGGAGUAACUGCCGGUACCUUGACGGUACCUAACCAGAAAGCCACGGCUAACUACGUGCCAGCAGCCGCAGUAAUACGUAGGUGGCAAGCGUUGUCCGGAAUUAUUGGGCGUAAAGCGCGCGCAGGCGGUCCUUUAAGUCUGAUGUGAAAGCCCACGGCUCAACCGUGGAGGGUCAUUGGAAACUGGGGGACUUGAGUGCAGAAGAGGAAAGCGGAAUUCCACGUGUAGCGGUGAAAUGCGUAGAGAUGUGGAGGAACACCAGUGGCGAAGGCGGCUUUCUGGUCUGUAACUGACGCUGAGGCGCGAAAGCGUGGGGAGCAAACAGGAUUAGAUACCCUGGUAGUCCACGCCGUAAACGAUGAGUGCUAAGUGUUAGGGGGUUUCCGCCCCUUAGUGCUGCAGCUAACGCAUUAAGCACUCCGCCUGGGGAGUACGG
rnacentral:rRNA from 1 species